ACCUCUCCGAUACCUGCGGGAUAUGUUGGGAACCCUACGUUGCCCGUGCUCCUGUAGCGGUCAGCCAAAGGCCCAAAGCCUCCCCGCCUCCUGUAUCGCGCAUCGCCAACCGCCGCUGCCGAUUGGAGCCGCCGCCGCUGAUCUGUGGGCGCCGCGCGCCGCCGAUCUAUGGCCAUCAGCUCGUCAAUCACGGAUUGAAGCCAAUACCGCGUGGUCUGUGGCCGUGUUCUUCCCUUCUUGUUCUUGCUUCUCGAACUCCUCCUUUCUUCUCAAUCUGCUGCCUCUUACUGCUACUGCUCCCAUUCUCUGGUCUUG
rnacentral:misc_RNA from 1 species